rnacentral:lncRNA from 1 species
CAAGGACAAAGACCACGAACCACAUAGAAAGGGCACAACAAUGGUGAGGCGAAAGGGAGUCGAGAGUGCUUGCCGACAGGAGAAACGAGUGAUGAACGCAAGGGAAAGGUCUUCAACGCCCAAAAUAAGGGCUUGUCGAGAGGCGAAACGAGUGGCCAAACGAGUGGAGGCAAACCCAGCCGAGAGGGACACGACAAUGGUGAGGCGAGGCGACCGAAGAGGCGAAAUGAGUGGAGAGUGCAGACGAAAGUGAUCGAAGAUUAGCGAGAGAGAACACGAGAGAGAGACGAGAGAGCGAGAGAGCGAGAUGAGACCCUAUUUCAUCAGAACAACACACAAUGCAAGAGAAAGAGGAAAGGAAACCGCGAAAAUGAAAAUACAAUUCUUGGCCUUCCAUCUUUGCCCUUGCUUCAGAAUUAAAUUC